UACGAAGGGUGCUAGCGUUGUUCGGAAUCACUGGGCGUAAAGCGCGCGUAGGCGGCUUUUCAAGUCAGGGGUGAAAUCCCACGGCUCAACCGUGGAACUGCCUUUGAAACUGGGAAGCUAGAGUGUCGGAGGGGAUAGCGGAAUUGCUAAUGUAGAGGUGAAAUUCGUAGAUAUUAGCAGGAACACCGGUGGCGAAGGCGGCUAUCUGGACGACAACUGACGCUGAAGUGCGAAAGCGUGGGGAUCAAACAGG
rnacentral:rRNA from 1 species